GACUCAUGAUAUCAGUUAGUUGGUAGUGUCAUGCACUACCAGGACAGUGACGGUGGACGGGAAAUUAGGGUUUUGUACCGGAGAGGGAGCCUGAGAGAUUGCUCCCACGUCCAAGGACGGCAGCAGGCGCGAAAAUUGCCCACUCUUUGCAGGAGGAAGUUAUGAGACGUGAAGAUGAGUAUCUUGUAAAGAGGGAUAGGAGAAUUGAGAGGGCAAGUUUGGUGCCAGCAGCCGCGGAAAUACCGACUCCAAGAGUGUGUAUGAGAGAUGCUGCAGUUAAAAAGUCCGUAGUCAUAGAAGGGCAAAGAGAGACGCGAGGUCUCACAGUGCGAUGAUGGAGGAGCCGAUGCCCAACAUAGUAUACCAGGGCGAGAGAUGAAAUGCCAAGACCCCUGGUGGACUGAGCGAGGCGAAGGGCGAUGUUCUUGUAGGCAUUCGGUGAUCAAGGACGAAGGCUGGAGUAUCGAAAGUGAUUAGAUACCGCAGUAGUUCCAGCAGUAAAAGAUGCCGACAUGCUCAUUGGACACAGUGGGCAGGGAGAAAUCUUAGAGUUCGGGCUCUGGGGAUAGUAUGCUCGCAAGGUGAAAAUUAAAGGAAUUGACGGAGCUACACCACAAGGAGUGGAUUGUGCGGCUAAUUUGACUCACGCGAGUACUUACCAGGGCCAGUAUUGUGUAGACGAGCAUACAGGAGUGGUGCAUGUCGUUGGAAUGAUGGGAU
rnacentral:rRNA from 1 species